rnacentral:rRNA from 1 species
UGGUGGGUUGCCUUGUUCAGGUUGAUUCCGGUAACGAACGAGACCUCAGCCUGCUAAAUAGUCUCAGUUGCUUUUUGCAGCUGGCUGACUUCUUAGAGGGACUAUUGGCGUUUAGUCAAUGGAAGUAUGAGGCAAUAACA